rnacentral:misc_RNA from 1 species
GAAAAUGAAAAUCCAACUAUAGCACAGCAAAACAAGUCAAAUUACAAUAAAAAUGUAUGAGAAAAGAAGAGAGGGAAGAGAGGAAGAUAAGAGAGAUUUUAAAGAAUAAGAAAAAGAGGCCUACAUCGAGCUUUAGAAUGCAAACAUUCAAUAUUGAAUUUUCAGAGAUAUUCCAAAUGAUUCUAGUUUACUGAAUGGGAAAAAUUCAAACUACCUAAGUAGCAUAACAUCAGUGAAAAAUAAACAGAUAUCUAAAAUUCCUAUAAAGAAGCCAUCAGAAUGUGCCAAAAAGUAGAGUGAAACUAAGGCUGGAUGAUAAUUCCACCAGCAAAAUGGUGAAAGUGUCACUAAGACAUUUUUAUCCCAUCUGGAAUUAUACAAAGAGGAAAUAAUUAUGACGAAAAAUAUCUUAACACAACCACAGUAAGCCUUAGCAUUCAAUUAAAUAUAAAAACAAAACAAAAGUCUCAAAAGAAAAUGCAUAAAGUUAGAAGACAACGCUAAGUUUAAAUUUACAGCAGGGAAGCAAAUGCAUUAUUAUAUCUGGACAACAAUAUCAUACUAGGGAAUCACGCUUAAGGCCAUAAAUUUGACAAGGAAAAUUUGAACUAGUACAGUGCAUGAACCAUGGCACACCUGUAAUAGAUCCAAAACCUGGCUAAAGCCUAAAACAACUGUAUAAAACAGAUAAAGAAGUAGGAAAGCACCCAUUGUUAACCUUAACACUUCGCCCACCCCCCAACCCCCAUUUUGUACCAAAAUUAGCAGUCAAUUCAGGUCCACCAUUUUUUUAAAGCAACGAGAAUUCAUGUUCAUCAGUUAACGCCAUUUAAGUUCACAUCUCCAUAACACAAAAUAUCAUGUCUGUGCCAAUAUCCAGACCUGUACCGCCUUCAUCUUCCUAUUAUUUUCUUUAUUUUACCGGUAAAUACACCAGAGAGUCACACAACCAAAUAGGAUAAUACCAUGAUUUUACCAUCCAACCUAUCCUCAAGGAAAACAGAGAUGCAUUGGAUUCUAAGCCAUUGACAUGGCUUUCAUCUUGUCCUUUACAACACCACCUUCAUGGAAAUUGCCAGAUGCCACUGCCAGACCCCAUUAGAAUGUUAAAAUCAUCUUCCAGAACUUUCUGUCUACUGGUCUAAAUUUUCACAACCUAUGAAUGAGGCUAUUAACACCUAACACGUGCAAGUAAUUAUCAUUUUACACCUUCGUGUGUCCAAUUAAUUCCUUCGCUAUGUCCUCAAACAAGCAUACCCAAAUGUGCAUAUCCUUUGUGUGUCACAACUCAUAAGUCAUAAUUAACUUUGAAUAACAGCAAUUGGACUCAAGUUCAGUUCUAGUCCUCAGUCAAUCAAGCCACAACCAAGAGAAUUGUUUAAAUUAGGUCAGUAUACCUAUGUAUCGUGCAUAUAACAAUAACUCAAAUAGAAGCUUACCAUGACACAAAAUUAGCAGCCCACACAAGAUACUUUAAGCCAGAAAAUAGCACUGUUAGAAACUGGCUGGGUAGAAUAUGAAACAAAGCUCAACUUGCCCUCACUCCUCAACAAGACAACAACAAUCGAUUUAACACAGGUUCAACAAGUAUUGUAGUGGCUGGCAUUGACCUCAGUUAAAUGGAAUCGAUAAAAUUUGUUAUAAAAAGCACAAAUUAGUCAUUGGUCAGAGAUAGAAAGGUGCCUGCUAGUGUUACUGUUACCGUAAAUUGUGGUCUGUCUAGUCUAUCUUGAUAUUUUGUAGGCAGGAAAGUAAUAGGAUUCUGAAGAAUUAAAUAUUGGAUUCAGAAAAUUUUUAAUGACUUUCAUAAAAUUUCUAUCUGAAAAGAAAUUCUUUUGGGGAAAACACACCAGAAUCUCAUUUUUAACCUUAGGGAAGAUUCAGAAAAGUAAAAACAGAUAAAGACAUGAUGAAGCUCAAACCUUGUUUAGAGAAACUCACAAUUUGGAGUGUUUUCAUUCAACAAUAUCAAGUUUUCUCACUGGUCAAUCAUGGAAAUUGACAAACGCGAUACACAGAUGAUUGCUUGAAACUAUAAUAAAAACUAUCCUAAUCACCCUUGCAAAAGAAAUCACUUCAACGGUUAAAAAUAAUGGGCAAUGCAUCUAAUGCUAAAUACAAAUAAGUUAAACAAAAUGAUCCUGUAGGUGUAUACUGACUAGUCUAUCACUUAAAGACAGUUGCCAAGUGCUCAGUCUGGUCCAUGGAACAAUAUUGGCUAUUUCUUGUCGUUGACAAAGAAAGAAAAGGCAUAACAGAACAGAGAUGGGCACAGUUGAAAUCACAAAAACAAAUAUAAUGUAUUGGAAAAGCUAUCCACCACAUCAUGCAAAUAAAUGUAAAUGAAUUUUACCUCUGACGAUUUGUCUUGAGGUUCAAACCGCUCAGCAAAUGCUCUUGAAGCAUUAGAAAACUCAGCACCAUUUGCAAUUCCAUUAUCUGACACAGAACCCCUCGGCGAAGACCCUUCCUCAGACCCUUCUGGAACAGGAGAAGGCGGUUGAGGUGGAGAAACAUAG